GUAUAAGCGACUAUACUGUGAAACUGCGAAUGGCUCAUUAAGUCAGUUAUGGUUUAUUUGAUGGUACCUACUACUUGGAUAACCGUAGUAAUUCUAGAGCUAAUACAUGCAGGAAGACCCGACUUCGGAAGGGUUGUAUUUAUUAGAUAAGAAACCAAUCCAGCUUGCUGGUUGCGUGCCGAGUCACAAUAACUGCUCGAAUCGCAUGGCUUCACGCCGGCGAUGGUUCAUUCAAAUUUCUGCCCUAUCAGCUUUCGAUGGUAGGAUCGAGGCCUACCAUGGCGUUUACGGGUAACGGAGAAUUAGGGUUCGAUUCCGGAGAGGGAGCCUGAGAGAUGGCUACCACAUCCAAGGAAGGCAGCAGGCGCGUAAAUUGCCCGAAUCCUGACACAGGGAGGUAGUGACAAGAAAUAACAAUACAGGGCUUCUAAAGUCUUGUAAUUGGAAUGAGUACAAUUUACAUCUCUUCACGAGGAUCAAUUGGAGGGCAAGUCUGGUGCCAGCAGCCGCGGUAAUUCCAGCUCCAAUAGCGUAUAUUAAAGUUGUUGCAGUUAGAACGCUCGUAGUCGGAUUUCGGGGCGGGCCGACCGGUCUGCCGAUGGGUACGCACUGGUCGGCGCGUCCUUCCUUCCGGAGACCGUGCCUACUCUUAACUGAGCGGGGGCGGGAGACGGAUCGUUUACUUUGAAAAAAUCAGAGUGUUUCAAGCAGGCAGCUCGCUCUUGCAUGGAUUAGCAUGGGAUAAUGAAAUAGGACUUUGGUGCUAUUUUGUUGGUUUCGAACACCGAAGUAAUGAUUAACAGGGACAGUCGGGGGCACUCGUAUUCCGCCGAGAG
rnacentral:rRNA from 1 species